rnacentral:rRNA from 1 species
GACGAACGCUGGCGGCGUGCUUAACACAUGCAAGUCGAACGGAAAGGCCCUGCUUUUGUGGGGUGCUCGAGUGGCGAACGGGUGAGUAACACGUGAGUAACCUGCCCUUGACUUUGGGAUAACUUCAGGAAACUGGGGCUAAUACCGGAUAGGAGCUCCUGCUGCAUGGUGGGGGUUGGAAAGUUUCGGCGGUUGGGGAUGGACUCGCGGCUUAUCAGCUUGUUGGUGGGGUAGUGGCUUACCAAGGCUUUGACGGGUAGCCGGCCUGAGAGGGUGACCGGCCAAAUUGGGAAUGAGAUACGGCCCAGACUCCUACGGGAGGAAGAAGUGGGGAAUAUUGCACAAUGGGCGGAAGCCGGAUGCAGCAACGCCGCGUGCGGGAGGACGGCCUUCGGGUUGUAAACCGCUUUCGCCUGUGACGAAGCGUGAGUGACGGUAAUGGGUAAAGAAGCACCGGUAACUACGUG